rnacentral:rRNA from 1 species
UACGUAGGCAGCGAGCGUUGUUCGGAAUUACUGGGCGUAAAGAGUGUGUAGGCGGUGCUCUAAGUUCGGGGUGAAAUCUCCUGGCUCAACUGGGAGGGUGCGCCGGAAACUGGAGUGCUUGAGCGUGGGAGAGGAAAGCGGAAUUCCUGGUGUAGCGGUGAAAUGCGUAGAUAUCAGGAGGAACACCUGUGGUGUAGACAGCUUACUGGACCAUUUCUGACGCUGAGACACGAAAGCGUGGGUAGCAAACAGG